rnacentral:rRNA from 1 species
GAUGAACGCUGGCGGCGUGCUUAACACAUGCAAGUCGAACGGAGAGGUCUUGUGUUUGCACAAGAGUACUCAAGUGCCGAACGGAUGAGUAACACUCUGGGUGAUCUGCCCUGCACUGUGUGAUAAGCCUGGGAAACUGGGUCUAAUACCAUAUAAGACCUCAUAGAAGAUGGUGUGGUGGAAAGAUUUUGCAGUGGGGGAUGAACCGGCCGACUAUCACCAUGAUGGUGGGGUAAUGGCCUACCAAGGUCGCGACCGGUGAUUCCGGAUGAGAGGGUGUAAGGACUCCUUGAGACUGAGAUACGGACCAUACUCCUACGGGAGGCACCAUGGUCGAAUAUUGCCCAAUGGGCGCUAGCCUGAUGCAGCGACUCCGCGUGGGGGAUGAAGGACUAUCAGGAUGUAAACUCCUUUCGCUAUCGACGAAUCCAUUUUGUGCUGACGGUACGUAGAUAAGAAGCACCGGCUAACUACGUGCCAUCACUCGCGGUAAUACGUACGGUGCGAGCGUUGACCGGAAUUACUGAGAGUACAGAGCUCGUAGGUGGAUUGUCGCGUCAUCUGUGAAAUCCCGGGUCUUAACUUCGAGCGUGCAGGCCAUACGGGCAUAUCUUGAUCGCUGUAUGGCAGACUGGAAUUCCUGGUGUAGCGGUGAAAUGCACAUAUAUCAGGAGGAACACCGAUGGCGAAUGCAGGUCUCUGGGCAGUUACUGACGCUGAGGAGCGAAAGCAUGGGUAGCGAACAGGAUUAGAUACCCUGGUAGUCCAUGCCGUAAACGGUGGUGCGCUACGUGUAGGGAGGCUUCCUGCGUCUUCUGUGUCGUAGCUAACGCAUUAAUUCGCCCCUCCUGGGGAGUACGGCCGCAAGGCUAAAACUCAAAGGAAUUGACGGGGGCCCGCACAAGCGGCGGAGCAUGUGGAUUAAUUCGAUGCAACGCGAAGAACCUUACCUGGGCUUGACAUAUACAGGAUCGCCGUAGAGAUACGGUUUCCCUUGUGGUGUGUAUACAGGUGGUGCAUGGUUGUCGUCAGCUCGUGUCGUGAGAUGUUGGGUUAAGUCCCGCAACGAGCGCAACCCUUGUCUUAUGUUGCCAGCACGUUAUGGUGGGAACUCAUGACAGACUGCCAGGGUUAACUCGGAGGAAGGUGGGGAUGACGUCCCAUCAUCAUGCCCCUUAUGUUCAGGUCUUCACACAUGCUACAAUGGUGGAUACAGUGGGCAGCGACAUCGUAAGGUGGAGCGAAUCCCUGAAAGUCGCCUUUAGUUUGGAUUGGGGUUUGCAACUUGACCCCAUGAAAUUGGAGUUGGUAGUAAUCGCAGAUCAGCAAUGCUGCGGUGAAUACGUUCCCGGGCCU